GAUGAAGAACGCAGCGAAUUGCGAUAAGUAAUGUGAAUUGCAGAUUUUCAGUGAAUCAUCGAAUCUUUGAACGCACAUUGCGCCCCUUGGUAUCCCGAGGGGCAUGCCUGUUCGAGCGUCAUUUCACCACUCAAGCCUGGCUUGGUGUUGGGCGACGUCCUCUUUGGGGACGCGCCUCGAAACGCUCGGCGGCGUGGCACCGGCUUUAAGCGUAGCAGAAUCUUUCGCUUUGGAAGUCGGGGCCCCGUCUGCCGGAAGACCUGCUCGCAAGGUUGACCUCGGAUCAGGCAGGGAUACCCGCUGAACUUAAGCAUAUCAAUAAGCGGAGGA
rnacentral:misc_RNA from 1 species